rnacentral:rRNA from 1 species
UAUUUUCAGUUGGUUUUGGCAGCGCGAGGACUAGGGUAAUGAUUAAUAGGGAUAGUUGGGGGCAUUAAUAUUUAAUUGUCAGAGGUGAAAUUCUUGGAUUUAUGAAAGAUUAACUUCUGCGAAAGCAUCUGCCAAGGAUGUUUUCAUUAAUCAAGAACGAAAGUUAGGGGAUCGAAGACGAUCAGAUACCGUCGUAGUCUUAACCAUAAACGAUGCCGACCAGCGAUUAGGAGACGUUGAAUACAAAACACCACCAUCGGUUGCGGUCNUCCUUGGCGUCUCGG